rnacentral:tRNA from 1 species
GGCGACAUAGCUCAGCUGGUUAGAGCAAUGGAAUCAUAAUCCACAGGUCCGGGGUUCGAAUCCCUGUGUCGCUA